rnacentral:rRNA from 1 species
GCCAGCAGCCGCGGUAAUACGUAGGGUGCAAGCNUUAAUCGGAAUUACUGGGCGUAAAGCGUGCGCAGGCGGUUGUGUAAGUCAGAUGUGAAAUCCCCGGGCUCAACCUGGGAAUUGCAUUUGAGACUGCACGGCUAGAGUGUGUCAGAGGGGGGUAGAAUUCCACGUGUAGCAGUGAAAUGCGUAGAUAUGUGGAGGAAUACCGAUGGCGAAGGCAGCCCCCUGGGAUAACACUGACGCUCAUGCACGAAAGCGUGGGGAGCAAACAGGAUUAGAUACCCUGGUAGUCCACGCCCUAAACGAUGUCUACUAGUUGUCGGGUCUUAAUUGACUUGGUAACGCAGCUAACGCGUGAAGUAGACCGCCUGGGGAGUACGGUCGCAAGAUUAUAAACUCAAAGGAAUUGAC